AUUCCAGCUCCAAUAGCGUAUAUUAAUGUUGUUGCAGUUAAAAAGCUCGUAGUUGGAUUUCUGGUGGGAGCGGCCGGUCCGCCGUAAGGUGUGUACUUGGUUGUCUCCUGUCAUCCUUGUGGGAACUGCUCUGGCAUUAAGUUGUCGGGGUUAGGGAACACAUCGUUUACUGUGAAAAAAUUAGAGUGUUUAAAGCAGGCUUAUGCCGUUGAAUACAUUAGCAUGGAAUAAUAAGAUAGGACUUUGGCGUCUAUUUUGUUGGUUUCUAGAGCUGAGGUAAUGAUUGAUAGGGAUAGUUGGGGGCAUUCGUAUUUAACUGUCAGAGGUGAAAUUCUGUGGUUCGCGAAAGACUAACUUAUGCGAAAGCAUUCACCAAGGAUGUCUUCAUCA
rnacentral:rRNA from 1 species